rnacentral:rRNA from 1 species
UACGUAGGCAGCGAGCGUUGUUCGGAGUUACUGGGCGUAAAGGGUGUGUAGGCGGUUUUCUAAGUUUGGUGUGAAAUCUCCCGGCUCAACCGGGAGGGUGCGCCGAAAACUGGGAGACUAGAGUGCGGGAGGGGAGAGUAGAAUUCCUGGUGUAGCGGUGAAAUGCGUAGAUAUCAGGAGGAAUACCGGUGGUGUAGACGGCUCUCUGGACCGCCACUGACGCUGAGACACGAAAGCGUGGGUAGCAAACAGG